rnacentral:rRNA from 1 species
ACGAAAGUCUGACGGAGCAACGCCGCGUGUACGACGAAGGCCUUCGGGUUGUAAAGUACUGUCUUCAGGGACGAACGGUAGAGGUGUAAAUAAUGCCUUUACACGACGGUACCUGAGGAGGAAGCCCCGGCUAACUACGUGCCAGCAGCCGCGGUAAUACGUAGGGGGCAAGCGUUGUCCGGAAUCAUUGGGCGUAAAGGGCGCGUAGGCGGAUAUUUAAGUCUGGUGUGAAAACCUAGGGCUCAACCCUGGGACUGCAUCGGAAACUGGGUAUCUUGAGGACAGGAGAGGAAAGUGGAAUUCCACGUGUAGCGGUGAAAUGCGUAGAUAUGUGGAGGAACACCAGUGGCGAAGGUGACUUUCUGGACUGUAACUGACGCUGAGGCGCGAAAGCGUGGGGAGCAAACAGGAUUAGAUACCCUGGUAGUCCACGCCGUAAACGAUGAGUGCUAGGUGUAGAGGGUAUCGACCCCUUCUGUGCCGCAGUUAACACAAUAAGCACUCCGCCUGGGGAGUAC